CGCAGAAAUUCAUGGCACUGCGGGUGGUGGCCGGUGAAGGUUGCCCUGAUUAUAGGUUGUUUCUUCUUCUCUCAGGUUGUUCCAUCCGGUUGGAUCGAAACCUACGGGAAAGUUGCGCAGGUUGGAGCAGGGGUAUUUCUUGUACUUCAGCUUAUGUCUACCAUAAGAUUUAUCACACAGCUGAACUACAAAUUAUGCGAGACCAAUUUUGAAGAAAGGUACAUCCGUGUCAUCGCAAUCUCUGGUACUGCCAUCCUCACAUUUUUGGGAUUGAUAGUAUUCUUGAGCCUAAAGUUUGUACAGUGUUGGCACAAUAUGGAGCUCAUUGUCAUCACAAUGGUGCUAUUUUUCAUCAUGUGUGGAGUCUCACUAAUGUCCAAGGCUAACAAAUUUUUCAUGGAGCCUGCAUUAAUUGGUGGGUACGCUACUUUCAUAUGCCUGUUAGCGAUUACAAGUGAACCUGAGUCAGGAUGCGACAUAAAAUGCAAAGCAGGUUCAGUUGCUGGUUGGUUAACCAUUUCCUUUUUUGUUUCUGGACUCCUCGGCACUGUUUAUUCUGCUUUUACUAUGGGCACCGGCUACAAAUGUACACGAAACACGUUGGAGUCGGAAGACAAUGUACCAUAUGGGUACGGUUUUUUUCAUUUCAUCUUCAUGUCGGGCUGCAUGUACUUUGGAAUGAUGUUUGUUGCCUGGGACACACAUCAUACCAUGGAAGAGCACACAUGCGUGUUUGAUACAAUAUUUUGCAUUUCACCUCAGAUGGAACGUAGAUAUUGGGUGGAUCAGCACAUGGAUCCAUAUCGCUAGCGAGGCUCUGGUGGUAGUAUCCUACUUAACGAUACUGCUGGCCAGAAUUUUGGGAGUAGACUGGCUCCAACACUUCCUCGCAAAGAUCUUUGGAACAGAUGACCAGCUCCACGGCGAUGAAUCCCAUACGACGAUCGUGCAUGGUGAUGAAUCCGAGACGACGACCGUGCAUGGUGAUGAAUUCAAGACGACGACCGUGCAUGGUGAUGAAUCCGAGACGAGGACCGUGCAUGGUGAUGAAUCCGAGACGACGACCGUGCAUGGUGAUGAAUCCGAGACGACGAACACGCAUGUCACAUCGUCGUCCUCUUUGUAUCACACAGCGUCGCCCUCUUCGCUCUACUACUCCCCCGAGCAAUCACCGCCCAAUAACACUGACCAUCAACCUCCUCCGCCACCGCCUUCAUCGUCCUCCCCUCACACCAUAGAACUGCAAAUGUUCGAGAUACCAAACAUCGGUACCUCUGGCAUGAAUGAAGAGGAGGACGAUGAUGACCAUAUUAGAGAAUGGGAGAGUGAAUAAUUGGUCGCUCCGUAAUUAACAACUUGUAUUUCGACAUCCACUAGUAGAAAAGAGCUCUAAGGUGGCGGC
rnacentral:misc_RNA from 1 species